rfam:Erwinia iniecta strain B120 contig000004, whole genome shotgun sequence.
UUUUUCACGCUGUACCUUGUGAUACAAGUUAAAAGCGAUAUAAAGGAAUUUUGCCGGAUAGCACAUACACGCAGCAAUGGCGUAAGACGUAUUGUGAAAUCAGGCAUUUAGCGGGCUGCGGGUUGCAGCCUGGACGACAAGACGGGAUAGACUUUCUCUGGUAACUCAGUAGUGGUUCCCCCUCGUAAAAGCGCUGUUUUAUCCGUAUGAAAAACAGGCUACCGAGAUUUUGCGCCCCUUAGCAGGCGACAACCGUGAGGUUGACGGCUUUGCGAUGAGACACGGGGCCAUCGGUUGUUCCUCGUCCAGCGUUACCAUGCCCGUAGCUUUGUCACUAA